GUGGGGAAUAUUCCGCAAUGGACGAAAGUCUGACGGAGCAACGCCGCGUGAGUGAUGAAGGUUUUCGGACUGUAAAGCUCUGUUGUUUGGGACGAAAGUGCCUGUUGCGAACAGUUACGGGUAUUGACGGUACUAAACGAGGAAGCCACGGCUAACUACGUGCCAGCAGCCGCGGUAAUACGUAGGUGGCAAGCGUUGUCCGGAAUUAUUGGGCGUAAAGAGCAUGUAGGCGGGAAUCUAAGUCUGUUGUUAAAAUGCGGGGCUCAACCCCGUAUUGCGAUGGAAACUGGGUUUCUUGAGUGCAGGAGAGGAAAGGGGAAUUCCCGGUGUAGCGGUGAAAUGCGUAGAUAUUGGGAGGAACACCAGUGGCGAAGGCGCCUUUCUGGACUGUGUCUGACGCUGAGAUGCGAAAGCCAGGGUAGCGAACGGGAUUAGAAACCCUUGUAGUCC
rnacentral:rRNA from 1 species